rnacentral:rRNA from 1 species
GAGUUUGAUCUUGGCUCAGGAUGAACGCUGGCGGCGUGCCUAAUACAUGCAAGUCGAGCGAACAGACGAGGAGCUUGCUCCUCUGACGUUAGCGGCGGACGGGUGAGUAACACGUGGAUAACCUACCUAUAAGACUGGGAUAACUUCGGGAAACCGGAGCUAAUACCGAAUAAUAUAUUGAACCGCAUGGUUCAAUAGUGAAAAACGGUUUUGCUGUCACUUAUAGAUGGAUCCGCGCCGCAUUAGCUAGUUGGUAGGGUAACGGCUUACCAAGGCGACGAUGCGUAGCCGACCUGAGAGGU